GUAUGAGCUUGCAUAUUGAUGUUGCUCCAACAGACUACAAUUGUCAAAAAGAGACAGCAUUCAAGGACUUCAAGUGCAUAUAUUUACUGAAAUUAUAAUGUCCAGUGAAAAUCGCCUUGGUAUUCUAACGUAAAUCAUGGGAUAGACUGAAAAGUGCUGCAAGUUUAAGAGUGAAAGGUAAUUACAAAGUUAUAUUUUAUUGAAUAGCUUAAUCAGCUUAAUUAUAGUCAGUUUCACUUUGUUUUGGUUCUCUGCAUUAUAUAUGCUUAAAAUAAUUGCCUGUUCGUAACUUAGCAUCGAAGCUACAUUGUAAAUGUAAUACGAAGGUUUCAUCAAAUAUCAAUGUAAUGACAUAAUAGUACUAAGAAUAAUUGCUCGACAUUUGCACGACUUUUUACGCUAUACGCUAAGUGACUAUGCACUGAUGCGGACUAUAAAGUAAUUUGAAGCUUGGCUAUAUACUGUAUUUUAUAGACACAGUUUAUUAAACUCUUUUCCGUCAGGAGAUAAAAUUUCAAAAUGCUAUAUUCCGAUUCGAAUUUUCUUAGCGAAUAUUUACUUCCUUGUAACGUAAAAUGCAUCAUUUGAAAGUCCACGAAUUAGGCUAUCGAAUGACAUGUUUUGCUUUCAUCAUAAUAUUACACACGCCAAGAAAAUCGCCGACAAUGGCUUUCAAAUCCCUAAAUUUGCCUCGGUUUUCUCACAGAUUUGUUGGAAUAUCUUUCGAACCAUAGGAUAUACGACAACUUUUUAUUAUACCCAAGUGUAACCCAUUAAACAAUGAGUUUGUAUUGAAAAUUUCACAGCAAUCCGACCAAACCUGAGCUAGUACUUGACCUUUGGGCGGAACAGACUCACGUCACGUACACGCUUGGAUCGGAAGAUAUAAGGGGUGGAUAUGCAUUAGAAAUCAUGUUUUCAAACAUUCUAGGGCAUCAAUUUAUUAAACGUUCUAUCUCUGGAAGAAUAUUUUUCAAGCGUGUGGCACAUUUUCCACAUGACCACUGCCAAGAAAGAUCAAUAACCGCUAGUAGUAGUUGUUUGAAACGUCGACAAAUUUUUGUCUAUAUUUGUCAGAUCAGUGUGAUCUACAACACCAAGAGCUAACUUGUGCUUUAUUCAACACUUAUAUUAUAUUGUUUUGUACUCAAGUUGUAAAAAGCUAAAAAUAUAUUGUUUUGUACUCAAGUUCUUUCAAAAUGGAAACCCUGUGCCUGUCCUCAGAUACAUUUUAAAAAUGGCAAUGCUUUCAUUCUUUCUUUCUUUUAUGAUUGCGAUAUUCUAUUUCUAUUAAUAAACAAUAUUCUGUCUGUAAAGUGAUAUGGGCAGGGGUGCAGGAAACUUGUUAAACUGGCGAGGGGAGGGGGGGAAUUUGGAGUAUCUUGAUCGUCGGAAAUGGAAUUUCAGGGUAUUCUCAGUCAACCUCGUUGGUUAGGACUUUCGUUAAUUGUUUCAUUAUGUAAAUGCGAGAGUCAGGACGGUUUAUCAUUAAUUGGCCGAUUAGCGCAAUUUAUAACUCAAUCUGUGCAUGCAGUUUAAUUACGCCGAUUUGAAUGUGGUCGGACAUUUUGCCGAAAUAACUUCACAGUGCCGAAAGACACUUUGCCGAAAGAAUGGUACUAUACCAGUUUUGCGAUAGAUUAUAAUCGAGCGUUUUAUGAUAACAAAGACGUCGAUACGCUUGGUAAUGUUUGUAUGAUCAACUUCCGGUAUAGUAUUUAUUAAACAAUCGAAAUAGCCUCAAGAUAAAUCGUUUGCAUUGCAUGGUAAGCCAUAAAUGGUUCUUUUGACCAGUGGCGUGCUGGCAGGGGGGGCCGGGGGCCACGCCCCCCCCCCAGCUGGCAAUUCUUGGGGGGCGCAAAAAUGAAAAAGGGGCGCCGAAUUUUGAAAGUGGGUGGGAAAAAACGCAUUCUCGAAAAAAUAUGGUUACUUCCACCAAGAAAAGACGUGUUUAUAGGCUACAGUAUAAAACAGACUAAGCGCAUUGGCGACAUAUAUUAAAUUACAGACUAUUUUGCCUAACCGUAUUUGCUACCUCACAGCUCACACGAAAUCGUUCAUAUAGAAACAUGAUCAGUGAUCACAGGCAAUGUCUCAUUACCGGAAUAUUGGUCAGGUUUCAAUCGAAGCGAUCACGAGAAUUAUGCCCUUUUUUCUGGUAUUAUGCCCUUAUAUUAUGCCCUUUAUUAUGCUUCACGAAUCACGAGAGCGGCGCAAAUUAGAUAGUUGAAGUUAUGAUAACUGAUGUAAAGUUGUGUACGCAAUUUAGUUGUUUGCACAAGAAGCAUGAGUAAUGUAAGUAAUGAAAUAAUGCUGAAACAUGCCCUUUUGGCAGCCAGGCAAAGAAACCUUAAAAUAGAUGUGCGUGGGGUGCGUGUGUUAUUGUAUAAAAGAGCUUUAAGUUGUAAAUGUGCUCAGAACAGUAGAUCAGUAGAGAACAGAAUUGGGAUUAGAUUAAUCGCUGGAAGUAGUUAGCAUUGCAUAAUUUAAUUACUACUACUAAAUUCUAACCAAAUUGCAAAUUUCGACACGUUAUAAUGCCGUUUCCUGACCAUCAGAUUUCUGUCAAAUCUUCCCCCAAAGUCCAGGAAAUGGCAUUUCAGAGACUCUAAAUUCAAAAAUUUUCCUGGGGGGCAUGCCCCCGGACCCCCUAGACAAACCUCGCACCUGCGGCACUCGGCUCGUGCCUUCGGCCCUCGUUUAUCAAGUGUAACAUUAUAGGGGCGCAUAUUGGCUGACAGCCCACUGGCCCCUCCAGAAAAAUAGUACCCAGCACCAGAUUUUAGAUUUAGACUGACAAUAGAUUUUUAUAAGUUAAAUCAAAACUAGAGAUACUUACUGUAUGGUCGACAUCGAUUAUAUGAUUUACCUCAAGGUCUGUUAUUAAAUGGCGUUGACGAAAAGAUGUUUAACUUAAAGGACAAUGGCAACCAUUUUUUUUAUUUUCCAUAUUAAAAGUGUUGCUUCAUCUAACUAUGAAUAUGAUAUUAAUACCGUGUCAAACAUUUUUGUUCAGGAGUUAUAUGCAUGUUAUUUCACUGCUAAUUUAUAUAUCGUCCGCCAUCUUGGCUCGUAUUUGCGAGUAAUUAUCUUUUGGGUAACAUGACCCGUAUGACGUAGUUGGCAGGGUAGAAUCAAAACAACAAUAUAUUUUUGUAUAGCGUGUAUCGAGAUUUAAUACGUUUUCGCAAAAAAUUAAUGCUUUUGAGUAAUUUUAAUGGAAAAUACUCACGAGAACCAAGUAGGAGAAGUGUUAUCAUACCAAUAUGAACCAGAAGUAGGAGAAAAACAAGCAAUAUUUUAAUUUUGGGAUAGGUAUAAAUAUAGGACUUCUACAUGCGUCUUGGACCUUUGGUUUGUAGUUUACUUAUAAUAAUUUAUUUAAUGGAUUUCUUUUAUUUUCAACGGGGUAUUGAAAGUAGACCAUGCCAUUAAAUAUUGUAUAUUAGGUGCACGCGUACAUGCGUGCGCUGUUUUGUGUCUUUAGAAAUAGGCUAGUAUAUCGCACUAGAAGCUAUAGUAUGUACUGUAGGUAAAGUUAUUACUUGGCAACGCUUCCCUUUUCAAUUGUAUUCGUUUUAAAAACUUUGGCGACUGUUCAUAUGCGUCUUCGGUCUUGUUCAUACGCGUCUUCGGCAAAAUGAAGUGAGCAUAUAUUCUAGUGCACGACGAUCAUAGACGACGAUGGUUUAAAUGCUUUGCCUUUGCGCUUACAGAAUUCAAUCGAGCUGACUAAUAUUUGCAAUUUCGGUUAUAUACUGUAUAUAGUAUAAUGUCCCACACGUGAAUUUAGGGUAUUUUACAUAGUCUAACACAAUGAAAAUAUUGAUAAUAUUGUGAACUACAUUACAUGCAUAUACUUACCUGUAUAAAAUGACAACCAAGUAAAUCUACAUGUAAAAAUACAUCACAUCACAACAUAUAACCAGAUUAAGUUAUUUUACACUUAUCUCUAAUCUCUUGGCUGGGAAAAUCCCAUUCUGAUAUUGAAUGUCAAUUUACUAAUUUGCGCAAUGUCUAACUUGCGCGGCACUACACAUUACAGAAGAGGCAAAUCUUGUUUGUGAGAUAACAGCUAUUUCACAAGCAAUGUCGUUUGAAAGCCUACUCAGUUUUAAAAGCAAUUAUUAUCAUAUAGUUGUGAAAUCUGAAGCUAAAUUAAUAUAUAUCGCCGGCGUGCAUUAGAAAUAUAUUAUCACUUCUGACAAUCACGAUCAACAAGUAUCUGUCAUGAUUUCGAUUCAGCCUUGUAUGAAAUUCGUGCAGUCAAUGUUUUUCAAAGGUUUUCAAAUUUAACGGCUAGUGAAUUCUGGCACGAGAUUUUAAAAUGCUUCGUCUACGGCUGGUGGGCCUUGUGGUUGCGAUUAUCCACUGCAGCCUUGUUGCAGUUCCGCCAGUUGGUUGAAUUAUUUUUGUAUUAAUAAUAAUGACAACACUUUGAAACACUAAAUCUCAGUAGAAUCUUUUAUUUAUAUGCAAAUUAUUUCUAUAUUUCUGCAACAGAGCAUGCACAUACAUAAAUGUAUAUGCUAUACAUAUAUAUACAUAUAUUUGGAAUAUAUGACAUGUAAUUGGAACAGCAGAACUACCAUAACCAGUCAAUGUCUAAGCACAUUUUACAACGCAAACAUACGCUUUACUGUCGAAAACACAGUAACAGACCAUUGGUAGUAAGCUGCUAAACAUUAUUGAAUUAUUAAUACACGUUAUGAUGUAAGUGUAAUUUUUUUGUAAACAUUUUCUUCCAAAUCUCAACGUUGUUACAGUGUAACUUAUAUUGUGGGAUUUGCGUUUACCCUGCCAUUUACGUCACGAAAUGUAUUGAUGCAUAAAUUAGCAUACGCGGAAUUUUCCCAAGAUGGCAGACGACUGUUAAAAUUUGUUAAACAUUUUCGCAAAUUAUCUGAACUGACUAAAUGCAAUGGACAAACAUAAGCAUGAAAUUAAGUAUUCCAUUAGUAAUUAAGCUUAUAAAUACAGACAAUAAAAAAAAUUGUUCCCAUUGUCCUUUAAAAACAAAUCACGUCAAGUGAUAUAUUUGUACAAAUCUGUAUUGUUUCGAACAAUACAAUAUAGAGCAAAGAACGACAUCUGAGUAUAUACUGUAAUAUUAUAUGGAUAUUAAAUCUAAUUACAAUUUAUGACUCCCUAAUAAUUCCGGCUUAGCGGGAUGCGGCCAUGACCUACUGUUCUUGGCAUAAAUGUUGUCGUGGUUUGGUCGCAUCAAAUUGCAUGAUUGCAUUUGGUCACAUCGAGUGCAUGAGAUACUUCACCUGCAAUUCAAACUUGUACUUGUUCUCUGGAAAUGAAGACAUUGAGGAAGAUGCACGUUGAUCUAUUAACGGAUUGUAUAUUAGGGAACCAGGUCUUUUUCAAUUCGUCAUUCAAGGUCCUUCUUCAGGACGGGACCAUACUAAACUGGUGUGGGAGAGAUGACAAAUACAUGCAUGGUUAUUGGUUAAAAAAUACUUAUUAUUCUACACCUUGGAUUGCAUUCCGUGCGUUUACUGAAACAGAUUAUUGCCAUUAUACUGUAGAUAGUGUGAACCUUCAGUUAAGUAUUUGGAUAUUUGCUGUUCCGGGCGUAAGCCCGGGGCGAGGGUAAUAAUUCCGCUCGGCUAUUUACACCCCGGUAUUUGAGAACAUAGCGAAGUGCAAAGUUGUCCACUUGUCCUCCAUUAUGUGAUGAGCGGUUUUCGACGUUAUGCGCAUGCGCGGGUACAAGCUCGCGCUAAAAAAUUGUUUUUCAGUUUUCAAAGAUGUAUUUUUGCGAUGUAUUUCGCUUUUAAUUGGAAAAAAGCCUGAAGUUUCAUGAAUUAGUUGUGAACCAUGAAACAAAGUGUGAAAGGCAUAAACACAAAUUUUGUCGAAGACGAACCUGACAUUUUGAAUAAAUUUAAUAGUUGUUUUGGCUAUGUUUGGGACUUGGGUAAGUGUUAUAAAUACUUCAGUAUUAAUUCCAUACUGUAGUUGCUUUGUGUUUUCGAUGUCAUUCAUAUCUGCGAAAUUUUUACGCUUUUCUUAACUCAAUAAAUAAUAUGUUGUUAUUCAAGCUUAAAGUUACAUGAAAUUGUAAUGGUGAUUAAUAUUGUUGUUUAUUUGGGGCAAUUAUACAGCGAAUCGUGAUUUCAUGUGUGUUUAUAAUGGUCUUUUACCUACAGCAAACAUGGCUUGACAAAAAUAAUACUUCAUGUGGAAUGUCUAUACUUCAUCUGUUAUUAAGAAAGGCGAGGGGUUGCUGCAUGCAUGUAUUUCUAGUAUGUUUAUGUAAAUACGAAAAAAGGCUGGGUGGCAUUGCACCCCGAAAUUAUGUAUGUACAGUUAAAGAGGACAACUGUCAAGCUUUCGUUGCCGUUGCUUGGGAUACAACUACUUGAAAAUAUAAGGAGAAUCUCCUGAGCAAAUAAUAAACUCCGGAUUGAAAAAUUUUCAUCAAUGGCUGCUAGCUAAUAGACUGAGUCUUAACGUCGCGAAAACGGAAUUCAUGAUAAUGGGGUCUCGUCAACGAUUAUUAGUACAUGAUAACGAACACAUAUGGAUAGAAAUUGACGGAAAGACAAUUAAGAGAGUCAGCGAAACGAAAUCUUUUGGCUUGCAAAUCGAUGAACAUCUUACAUGGGCACGACAUGUCAAAAAUAUUUCAAAAAAGAUUGCAUCAGCUAUUGGAGCUCUUAAAUGGUUAUGCCAAUUUAUAGAUACAAAAUUUAUGGAAUUUAUCUGAAAAUUAGCUCAGUUUGGGAUGGUUUAAAUAUCAUGUCAAAUGAUAAAUUACAAAAAUUGCAAAAUAGUGCAGCGAGGGUCAUCACUAAAUCUCGAUAUGAUGCUAGUUCCAGCGACGGUAAGCUGGGCUGGGAUAACCUUUUAACACGUCGGAAAAAGCAUAGAGCUAUACUAAUGUUUAAAACAAUUAACGAACUAACUCCGCAUUAUCUCCAUGAAUUGUUUGAAUCUCGCAGCACAGGAUAUAAUUUAAGAAACUCUGGACACACCUUAUAGGCCUAUGUGUGCCAAAAACACGAACGAACUGCGGUAAACGAAGUUUUAGUUAUAGCGGGGCAGUGUUGUGGAACGAAUAACCGCAAAAUGUACGAGCAACAUGCUCUCUAAGUAAAUUCAAAAUAGCAAUUGACAAUCUGUUAUCCAUAUGAAAUGGACUUCCGCACGGCAAUCUUGUAAAUCAGUAUUUUUAUUAGUAUUUGCAUAAGAUUAAAGUGUAUUAAUUUAAAUUAAUUGUCAUCUAACUUAAUUGUAAUUAUAUGUUAGUUAAUUAUCUCGUUAAAUGUUAUAUAUAUGUUAUUUCACCGUGUUUAAAUAAAGCUUUGAUUGGUUGAUUGCAUGUAGUUGCGUUCCUACCAACGAAAGCUUAAUUGUUCAUGCAUGUAAACAGUUCAAGAUAGUUAAAAAGGCCCUGUUAUGAUUUAAAUCUUUAAUUAUUGUAAGAAAAUAGAAUUUAAAAACGCGUCUCGUGUUUUUAUGCACUGGGCUACUCUUUGCUUUAAUACCAUAAUUAGAGCACUCGAAAUUGAACAUCUUUGUAUGCAGAAGAUUAUUGCUCCCUCAGCCUCCUUGACAUCCAUGCUCAGUCUCAAAUUUACAACACUCCUGAUUAUCUAUGUCCCUGCGGGCAACACAAAUACAUUAUCCAUAUGUAUUUAUAUCAUUCUGUAACAGAAAGAACAAAAUCUUAACAAAAAGAUGUGAUGGGGAAUUCUAAUAAAAAGAGCACGAGAAAUGAUCUGAGCGAAAGUUUCGUCGAGGUUAACAUUUACAAUGGAGAAACGAAAGACAACAAGAGACAUGGCCGUGGAAUAUACUUUUAUCCAAAUGGAGAUAUAUAUGAAGGCGAGUGGAGGAAGUCGCAGAAAAAUGGCCACGGUGCUUACAUUUACUCAGACGGUCAAAGGUACAGUAAGCAUCUAUAUGAUAUUUGUGAUGUUACUUUGAGUGUAUAUCCACACCGGGCG